rnacentral:lncRNA from 1 species
ACCAGCAAACCACCACCAAGAGAACUCUCUUACAGAAUUUGAAUGUGGCAGGGAACCAAUUAAAAGUAUGAGUUAAAGUUGUUCACUGCCUAUUCUAGGUAAGACACACCAUCAUUUCUACAUUUUGGAUAUGAGUUUUACUCACUGAUAAUUUAAUCAAUAAAUACAAAUGUAAACAUUUCUAGUACCAGCACAGAUUUUAAAUUAUAACUCUUGUCCUCUCCCCAAGUAA